rnacentral:rRNA from 1 species
GACGAACGCNGGCGGCGUGCCUAAUACAUGCAAGUAGAACGCUGAAGGAGGAGCUUGCUUCUCUGGAUGAGUUGCGAACGGGUGAGUAACGCGUAGGUAACCUGCCUGGUAGCGGGGGAUAACUAUUGGAAACGAUAGCUAAUACCGCAUAAAAUUGAUUAUUGCAUGAUAGUCAAUUAAAAGGUGCAAUUGCAUCACUACCAGAUGGACCUGCGUUGUAUUAGCUAGUUGGUGGGGUAACGGCUCACCAAGGCAACGAUACAUAGCCGACCUGAGAGGGUGAUCGGCCACACUGGGACUGAGACACGGCCCAGACUCCUACGGGAGGCAGCAGUAGGGAAUCUUCGGCAAUGGACGGAAGUCUGACCGAGCAACGCCGCGUGAGUGAAGAAGGUUUUCGGAUCGUAAAGCUCUGUUGUAAGAGAAGAACGAGUGUGAGAGNGGAAAGUUCACACNGNGACGGU